GACGAACGCUGGCGGCGUGCUUAACACAUGCAAGUCGAACGGUGAAGCUCAAGCUUGCUUGGGUGGAUCAGUGGCGAACGGGUGAGUAACACGUGAGCAACCUGCCCCGGACUCUGGAAUAAGCGCUGGAAACGGCGUCUAAUACUGGAUAUGACACCAAUCCGCAUGGGUAUGGUGUGGAAAGUUUUUCGGUCUGGGAUGGGCUCGCGGCCUAUCAGCUUGUUGGUGAGGUAAUGGCUCACCAAGGCGACGACGGGUAGCCGGCCUGAGAGGGCGACCGGCCACACUGGGACUGAGACACGGCCCAGACUCCUACGGGAGGCAGCAGUGGGGAAUAUUGCACAAUGGGCGAAAGCCUGAUGCAGCGACGCCGCGUGAGGGAUGACGGCCUUCGGGUUGUAAACCUCUUUCAGCAGGGAAGAAGCGAAAGUGACGGUACCUGCAGAAGAAGCACCGGCUAACUACGUGCCAGCCGCCGCGGUAAGAC
rnacentral:rRNA from 1 species